GCCGGUGUGGUGGAAUUGGUAGACACGCAGCACUCAAAAUGCUGUGGGUUCGUCCCGUGUCGGUUCGACUCCGACCACCGGUACCA
rnacentral:tRNA from 1 species